rnacentral:rRNA from 1 species
UACGGAGGGGGCUAGCGUUGUUCGGAAUUACUGGGCGUAAAGCGCGCGUAGGCGGACCUGCAAGUCGGGGGUGAAAGCCCGAGGCUCAACCUCGGAACUGCCUUCGAUACUGCGGGUCUCGAGUCCGGGAAAGGUGAGUGGAAUUCCCAGUGUAGAGGUGAAAUUCGUAGAUAUUAGGAAGAACACCAGUGGCGAAGGCGGCUCACUGGCUCGGUACUGACGCUGAGGCGCGAAAGCGUGGGGAGCAAACAGG